rnacentral:rRNA from 1 species
CGUGAGAUGUUGGGUUAAGUCCCGCAACGAGCGCAACCCCUAUCCUUUGUUGCCAGCACGCAAUGGUGGGAACUCAAAGGAGACUGCCGCGGACAACGCGGAGGAAGGCGGGGAUGACGUCAAGUCAUCAUGCCCCUUAUGUCCUGGGCUACACACGUACUACAAUGGGAUGGACAGAGAGCAGCGAAGCCGCGAGGCCAAGCGAACCCCAUAAACCAUCCCCCAGUUCGGAUUGCAGGCUGCAACCCGCCUGCA